UGCAUCGGCCGGGAAUCGAACCUGGGCCGCCCACGUGGCAGGUGAGCAUUCCCGCCACUGAGCCACCGAUGC